rnacentral:lncRNA from 1 species
ACUCUUCUACUUAGAGUUGAUAUUUGUAUUGAAAGAAAGAAAGGAAGAAAGGAAGAAAGGAAGAGAGAAAGGAAGAAAGGAAGAGAGAAAGGAAGGAAAGAAAGAAAAAAACUCAAUUCACUUCAAUUCUUCAAUGAUUUCUAAUUUGAGAGAAUGAUACAACCCAUACUGCACUGGACAUGGAUUCAAGAAGAUCUAGGUUCAAAUUCUGUCUUAAACAUUUUGUUAGCUGUUAGACUCUGGAUAAAUCACUUAAUCUCCCUUUACCCCAAUGUUCUCAGCUGUAUCAGAUUCCUUGGUGUGGAUGACCUUAUACUCAGCUAAAUCAAAAGAACCAUCCAACUUUAGAAGUGUAUAUAGGGGAAAACCAACCAAGCAACCAAAAAAAAUACCUAUCCUUGGAUAUAUCAGAGAGGGAAGAGCUGAAAUCUUGUUUGGAAAUUUUAAUAAAGUCAAAAGAAGAUGCUUACCCAUCCACAGAGAAAAACAGGUCUCAAAAGAACCAUAGAUCACUACAAUUCAGUUUAUAAUCUUCUAGAGCAGCAAGUGUGAAGAAUUCUUUAUCUGAAGAGGUUAAAUGACUUACCAGCAAGUGGCAGAACCGUACUCCAGCCCAGGUCUUAUGACUUGACUUCACAUCCAGAAUUCUUGCCUCUCUGGCUUUUUGACACAUGCAUAAAGACAAGAAAUAACUCAGCCUAUUGAAAUGAAUAAUCCAAAAACAGACUCUAACCCCCAACAACCCUUCCUCCAUCAAUCAGCAGUAUGAAACUGUCAAUUGUGUAAAGUUUUUCUGAAGACAUAAUUUCUUGAAUAUUGGUGACCAGCUGCAAUAAGAUCUCAUUCAUUACUCUUUCACAAUCCCACUGAUUUUAUGGAACUGCAAUAGGCUAAUAAUUUCAGGGAGCAGAACAGCUCAUUUUUCAGAAAAAGAAAUUAUAGCCAAAAAUAUAUGUACUGAAUUGGCUAGAUAACAAGGCAGGAAAUGCAAUGUUUCAUAAUCUGAAUUUUGGAAUAUUUAGCUGUGUUCAAUUUUCCUGAAGUAUCUGGCCUACUCUUGACAGCGACUAAGAAACCAAUAGGGCUGCCUGAGAUAAUUACAUAGCAUGCACUGCUCUACUUCAUAUGCAGUCAUUAAGUCUAUUAUAGAUUCCUAUUUGUGAUGCUAGAGGUUAAGGGGUUUCAUGGAGAUUUCCAUUUAAAUCCCUAUCUUUAUGGGAUUAGAAUACAGCCAUAAAAAUGUGCUCCCAGGCUGAAACUUGAUACACAAGGUCUUGGCCUGGGUGCAAAUGUUUUUAAAUUUUUUCAUAAAUAUCAUUAUAAAAUGUCUUUGUAAAAUAAAAAUUACAUUUAUUGGGUC